UUUAGGUUAUUUGUGUUAUGGUCUGUGGAAUGGCUUCCUGUUUUGUGCUUUUAUUUUGGUUAGACUUCCUGUCCUGUACCACCUCUCCUGCCCCAGCUUUACCCCGGUUCCUUAUCACCAUUCAUUGUCUCCACCUGUCGCCUAUUAACCUCCUGAUCUCCUGUCUAUAUAUCGUCCUCCCUUCCGUUAUCCAUGCCUCAUCAUCCGUCUCUCUGCGUACCACACCCUGCCUGUCUGCUUUUGUCCUGCAGCAUCUUCUCCUUCCACAGGUCAAAGAAGUAUGAGGGAUCAGUGUAGAACUUUAGUGCUUCCUUGUGAUCAUCUCUACAGAGACACGCACCAAGAAGGGCCACAGUGGACGUCUGUUUGGCGAGUGUGUGCGCUGUACCUGUACGGUGAGAGGAUGCUGAGUGGAGGAGGCUUGUCGCCCAGA